GACGAACGCUGGCGGCGUGCUUAACACAUGCAAGUCGAACGGAAAGGCCCUGCUUUUGUGGGUUGCUCGAGUGGCGAACGGGUGAGUAACACGUGAGUAACCUGCCCUUGACUUUGGGAUAACUUCAGGAAACUGGGGCUAAUACCGGAUAGGAGCUCCUGCUGCAUGGUGGGGGUUGGAAAGUUUCGGCGGUUGGGGAUGGACUCGCGGCUUAUCAGCUUGUUGGUGGGGUAGUGGCUUACCAAGGCUUUGACGGGUAGCCGGCCUGAGAGGGUGACCGGCGACAUUGGGACUGAGAUACGGCCCAGACUCCUACGGGAGGCAGCAGUGGGGAAUAUUGCACAAUGGGCGGAAGCCUGAUGCAGCAGCGCCGCGUGCGGGAUGACGGCCUUCGGGUUGUAAACCGCUUUCGCCUGUGACGAAGCGUGAGUGACGGUAAUGGGUAAAGAAGCACCGGCUAACUACGUG
rnacentral:rRNA from 1 species